rnacentral:rRNA from 1 species
AUCGGGUCGCUUAACCAUGCAAGUCGAACGGGGUCCUUUCGGGGACUUAGUGGCGGACGGGUGAGUAACGCGUGAGAAUCUGCCUACAGGACGGGGACAACAGUUGGAAACGGCUGCUAAGACCCGAUGUGCCGGGAGGUGAAAGUAUUUUAUAGCCUGUAGAUGAGCUCGCGUCUGAUUAGCUAGUUGGUAGUGUAAUGGACUACCAAGGCGACGAUCAGUAGCUGGUCUGAGAGGAUGAUCAGCCACACUGGGACUGAGACACGGCCCAGACUCCUACGGGAGGCAGCAGUGGGGAAUUUUCCGCAAUGGGCGAAAGCCUGACGGAGCAAGACCGCGUGGGGGAAGACGGUUUGUGGAUUGUAAACCCCUUUUCUCAGGGAAGAAGAACUGACGGUACCUGAGGAAUCAGCAUCGGCUAACUCCGUGCCAGCAGCCGCGGUAAUACGGAGGAUGCAAGCGUUAUCCGGAAUUAUUGGGCGUAAAGCGUCCGUAGGUGGUUAAUCAAGUCAGUUGUCAAAGCGUGGGGCUUAACCCCAUACAGGCGAUUGAAACUGAUUGACUAGAGUUUGGUAGGGGUCAGGGGAAUUCCCAGUGUAGCGGUGAAAUGCGUAGAUAUUGGGAAGAACACCGGUGGCGAAAGCGCCUGACUGGGCCUGAACUGACACUGAGGGACGAAAGCUAGGGGAGCGAAAGGGAUUAGAUACCCCUGUAGUCCUAGCUGUAAACGAUGGAGACUAGGUGUUGCCCGUAUCGACCCGGGCAGUGCCGUAGCUAACGCGUUAAGUUUCCCGCCUGGGGAGUACGCUCGCAAGAGUGAAACUCAAAGGAAUUGACGGGAGCCCGCACAAGCGGUGGAGUAUGUGGUUUAAUUCGAUGCAACGCGAAGAACUUACCAGGGGUUGACUUGACCCGGAUCCUUUGGAAAUAAAGAGAUCCCUUCGUGACCCGAC